CGUGUAGGCGGCCUCUUAAGUCUGAUGUGAAAGCCCGGGGCUUACCCCCGGAAGGGCAUUGGAAACUGGGAGGCUAGAGUACCGGAGAGGAAGGUGGAAUUCCUGGUGUAGCGGUGAAAUGCGUAGAUAUCAGGAGGAACACCGGUGGCGAAGGCGGCCUUCUGGACGGAUACUGACGCUGAGACGCGAAAGCGUGGGGAGCAAACAGGAUUAGAUACCCUGGUAGUUCACGCCGUAAACGAUGGGCACUAGGUGUUCGGGGUAUUGACCCCCUGAGUGCCGCAGCUAACGCAUUAAGUGCCCCGCCUGGGGACUACGGCCGCAAGGUUAAA
rnacentral:rRNA from 1 species